rnacentral:rRNA from 3 species
AGUGACGGCCAUAGAGAACAGGGAAACACCCGGUCCCAUUCCGAACCCGGCAGUUAAGCCUGUUCUCGUGCCAUAUGUGUACUUGGAUGCGCGAGCUCCAGGGAAGUAUGGCUUGCUGUCACUC